CACCGCGGUUAGACGAGAAACCCAAGUUGACAAACAACGGCACAAAGCGUGGUUAGGAAACCCCAUAAAACUAAAGCCAAACCCUUUCAUGGCCGUUAUACGCAUCCGAAAGCACGAAGCCCGACAACGAAAGUGGCUUUAUCCCCCUGAACCCACGAAAGCUAAGGAA
rnacentral:rRNA from 2 species